GGUACCACGGCGAGUGUGUGCUGUUGAUGUACGGAGAAUGUGGGCUCCUGGCCCCCAGGAACCACGGCCAGGAGGAGGCCUGCUGUUAAAGGACAUCGAAGACCGCGGAAGGAGAAAGGAGCGAACAAAAACCAAGCUGGGCAAGAGUAGUCGGUCCGGGCACCCCGCUGGCCGUGGCGGGAGCAGCAGACCUCGGGAGGCACGGCGUGCUCCGCAGAGUGGGGGCUCUGCUCUGGCCUCCCGCUCUGCACUCGUCUGUGGCUCCCGCCGGACAGCAGGCUCAGUCCUGCUCCUUCCCUGCUCGAUGCCAGCCUCAGGCCGGGUUCGCUGGGAUGCAGGAGAAGACAAAGGCCACUGUCCUGGGGACCCACUCCUGUCUGUGACCUUGCUGGCCAGUUACCCUUCUUUCCGACAGCAGAGGUGCCCUCACCUGCGUGACCAUGACAUUUGAAGCAGGCCUAUGAAAUAAGCAGACGAGAUGUCUGUAGACCCAUUUUACAGAUUGGAAAGUGAGAUUGAAAGACACAGAGUCUCCCCUGUCCUUCCUACUAAGAAAAUGACACAGACAGCACUCGACAGACCCCUGACUUAAUUCCGUGAUUUCCCAUGAUUCCCCACUUAAAAUGUAUCUGCAAAGAA